UGUUGAUCGGUGACCUUACCCCCAACC
rnacentral:piRNA from 1 species